GACGAACGCUGGCGGCGUGCUUAACACAUGCAAGUCGAACGGGCCUUGUCCCCUUUUUUUUUGGGGGUGGGGUUAGUGGCGAACGGGUGAGUAACACGUGAGUAACCUGCCCCUCACUUCUGGAUAACCGCUUGAAAGGGUGGCUAAUACGGGGUGUUCUGGCCUGCUCGCAUGGGUGGGUUUGGAAAGAUUCGAUCGGUUUUGGUUGUUUUGGUGGGGGAUGGGCUCGCGGCCUAUCAGCUUGUUGGUGGGGUGAUGGCCUGCCAAGGCUUUGACGGGUAGCCGGCCUGAGGGGGUGGGCGGUCACACUGGGACUGAGACACGGCCCAGACUCCUACGGGAGGCAGCAGUGGGGAAUAUUGCACAAUGGGCGCAAGCCUGAUGCAGCGACGCCGCGUGAGGGAUGGGGGCCUUCGGGUUGUGAACCUCUUUCGCCAGUGAAGAAGGUCCUGCUCUUUGUGGUGGGGUUGACGGUAGCUGGGUUAAUGAAGCGCCGGCUAACUACGUG
rnacentral:rRNA from 1 species